rnacentral:rRNA from 1 species
AGGACGAACGCUGGCGGCGUGCUUAACACAUGCAAGUCGAGCGGAAAGGCCCUUCGGGGUACUCGAGCGGCGAACGGGUGAGUAACACGUGAGUAAUCUGCCCCUAGCUCUGGGAUAGCUCCGGGAAACCGGGAUUAAUACCAGAUACGACCACUUUAGACAUCUGCUGUGGUGGAAAGAAUUUCGGCUAGGGAUGAGCUCGCGGCCUAUCAGCUUGUUGGUGAGGUAACGGCUCACCAAGGCGACGACGGGUAGCCGGCCUGAGAGGGCGACCGGCCACACUGGGACUGAGACACGGCCCAGACUCCUACGGGAGGCAGCAGUGGGGAAUAUUGCACAAUGGGCGAAAGCCUGAUGCAGCGACGCCGCGUGAGGGAUGACGGCCUUCGGGUUGUAAACCUCUUUCAGCAGGGACGAAGCGAAAGUGACGGUACCUGCAGAAGAAGCACCGGCCAACUACGCGCCAGCAGCCGC